rnacentral:tRNA from 1 species
ACUUAUUUAGUAUAAUAGUAUAUUUGACUUCCAAUCAGAAGGACUAAAUCUAAUUUAGAAUAAGUA